ensembl:lncRNA
UACAGAAAAAAAAACGAGUUAUAUAUCAGAGAUUUUAGAAAGGGAUAAAUAUUUUAAUGCGCAGGAGGCUGUCGAUUUUAAUUUAAUUGAUAACAUUUUGGAAAGGGUAUAGAUUGUGUGUAUACAUACAUAUGUAUAUAUAUAUAUAUAUAUAUAUACACGUUUCUAUAUCUAUUUUCAUAAAAAUUGACUCACUUUACACUUACUACGUGUUUUUAUCCCUAUUCUUUUUCAAUUAUACGGGGGUGUACUUAUAUGUGAAUGCAUAAUUUUGUAUAUUUUUAUGCAUUUGUCAUUACUAACGAGUACAUAAAAAUAAUUAUAAACGUAUCUUGUUAAUUAACGUGUAUACUAUAGGAUUAAGGGUAUAUAUUUGGUAUAUAUCUACAUAUAUAUAUGUAUAUAUAUGUAAAAAUGGUUAUAAGAAAUAUUUUUAUAAAAAAUGAUUGUUUUUUUAAUAUUAUCAAAUAUAACCAAUUAAAACAAAGUGGAAGACACAAAUUAGUAAAAAAAAUAUAUUAUUCUAGUAAAAAAAACACAAUUAUUGAUAGAAAAAAGGAUGAAGUAAAGAACAAAAGUUAUGGAAACGUUGAUACACAUAGUAAAGGUAAGGAUAAAGACGAGAGAAAGCCUGAUGGUAAGUAUAAACAAAGUGGUAACAGCAAUAACAGCAACAAUAACAACAGUAGCAAGGACGAAGUAAAUGUAAAUAAAAAAGUAACCGAUUUUCUGAAGAUGCACAAUAAAAAUGAAAAUGGAUAUGUUAGUAACUUAGUUUUAACAAUUUUAACAAGUGAACAUAAUGAAGAGACUAAAAAUAUUUAUAUAAACGAAGUCAAAUCGAUGAUAAAUGAUUUGUUAACAGAAAAUGACAAAUUUGAUAAUAUAAAUAAAAAAAAAAAAUUAUUAUUCGUUGAUAUAUUUUUAGCAAUAUAUUUAUGUUAUGUAGAACAAAUUUAUGAUUUAAGUUUUUUAAAAAAUUUAAACUCGUUAUUUGAUAUUUUAUUAUCAAAUAGUGAUAAUAAAUCCAAAGCGUUAUUAAAUGAUAAAAAUAUAAAUUAUUUUUUGAUGAUAUUUUAUUAUUUUUCAUUUUUGAAUAUUAAAAAUGUAACAUUAUAUAAUAGUAUUAAAGAAUAUAUAAUAAAUAAUGUGACUGAGCCAGUAAUUAUAUAUAAAUAUAUCGAAUGUCUUAGUCUUUUAAAAAAUGCAGAUGACAAUGUACAUAGUAUGACCAAUACUACUAAAAAUAUAAGUUAUCACAUGUAUCCUAUUAUGCAUAUAAUAACUGAAGAGUUUGAUAGUUUUAAUAAUUUUUUUUUAAUUAACAUUUUACAGUUUUUAAAUAAUUUAAAUUUUGUUGAUAAAGGUCUAUUUUCUCUUUUAACUAAAAAAAUUAAUCAAAAUAUUUACAACGAAAAGGCUAAUCGUUUUGAGCUAUGUAUGUUAUCAAACAUAUAUGCUUUAUACAAAAAAGAAAACAUAACAUUUAAUAGAUAUUUGUAUGAAGAUCUGAUGGCUAAUAUAACAAAAUGGGAAGAUAAUUAUAAAAGUUAUGAGGGAGGAGUAAAUAUAAAUGAUGUAAGUAAUAAUUUGAUUGACAGUAAAAUGGAACAAAAAACACUCUACGAAAAAAAUGAGCUACCCACGGAUGUUGAUAAAAGUGAGUUAGCCAAGGAAGAGGGAAAAUUGAACGAAAAAGAAAUGUUAAAACAAUCAGAUACCUCUUUGUACACUGAACAUAACUCUACGUAUAGCGAAGAAACAUAUAUAGACGAAAUUGAAAACAUAAAUAGAAACAAUUAUAAAUUUUUUCGAAAUCGAUUAUAUGUUGAUGGUUUAAAUUUUUAUUCUUUUUUUGUAAACUAUAAUACUACAAAUAAAAAAAAUAUAAAAUUAGGACAAAAAUUAGAUAUUAAUAUUAUUACACCUUUAAAAGAAGAUAAUACAAAACGUUGUGAUUAUAAUGAUAACUCAGAAACGUCAACUUGGUAUAAGUUAUUUAUAGAAGAUGAUUAUAAAAAAAAAAAUAUAAAAAAUGAAAAACUGGUUUCUUAUGACAUAAACACAAAUAGUGAAAUUGAAUUAAUAAAUUUGUAUAAUAAUUUUAUGAAGGAAAAUUUACAUUAUGACUUUUCCC